rnacentral:lncRNA from 1 species
UUUUAUGUUAUGUGAAUCUUUUUCAGGCGGUUUGAAAAAGAAACUAGAAAGAAUCGCAUUUCCUUACUACUAUAUACAAGGGCCACCAACUGUUACAAGGACCUUACUACUUUCUAGUUUAUCGUUUGACCCUUCAUUCUUACUUCGACUACUUAGGACUUGAUCUUAAGCAAUCGGUGACCGCCUCUACGAGGGUGGAGCUUCCUCGAUCAAGAAUAACAGUCGGGAGGCACUAAAGAUGUGGAAUCAUGUCUUGCGCCAUAUGUAUUGAGGAGAUCAUCACUCGGGAGACAUGAUUACAAUCUCG